rnacentral:rRNA from 1 species
UACGGGGGGGGCAAGCGUUGUUCGGAAUUACUGGGCGUAAAGGGCUCGUAGGCGGCCAACUAAGUCAUACGUGAAAUCCCUCGGCUUAACCGGGGAACUGCGUCUGAUACUGGAUGGCUUGAGAUUGGGAGAGGGAUGCGGAAUUCCUGGUGUAGCGGUGAAAUGCGCAGAUAUCAGGAGGAACACCGGUGGCGAAGGCGGGUCCCUGGGCCGAUACUGACGCUGAGGAGCGAAAGCGUGGGGAGCGAACAGG